rnacentral:rRNA from 1 species
UACGUAGGGACCAAGCGUUGUCCGGAAUCAUUGGGCGUAAAGAGCGUGUAGGCGGCUUGUUAAGUCUUGCGUGAAAUCUCGGGGCUCAACCCCGAGCGGUCGUGAGAAACUGGCAGGCUAGAGUGCGGGAGAGGAGAGUGGAAUUCCUGGUGUAGCGGUGGAAUGCGCAGAUAUCAGGAGGAACACCGAUGGCGAAGGCAGAUCUCUGGGCCGUAACUGACGCUGAGGAGCGAAAGCGUGGGGAGCAAACAGG